rnacentral:misc_RNA from 1 species
CCUGGAGAUCGAGCAUAGACAUCAGGGGGGUGUCCAAAGACUUCGAGAAACUUAGACUUCAAUCUAUCGAAUCUAAGCUGAGCUUCUUCGAGCGGAGAGCCGUCUCCGUAAACAUUCCAAAGAAGAGUAAAUCGGGAUUGGAAGCUCCUCGUGUUUGGCCAUUGAUAAGCUCUGGUUAUGGAGGAAAAGGAUCACAGUAUCAAAACCAAAAGGAAUGAAAUUGCGGUGGAGAGAAUUCUAGCUUUUG